UACGUAGGGUGCAAGCGUUGUCCGGAAUUAUUGGGCGUAAAGGGCGCGUAGGCGGUGCGGUAAGUCACCUGUGAAAUCUCCUGGCUCAACUGGGAGCUUGCAGGCGAAACUGCCGUGCUGGAGUGUGGGAGAGGUGCGUGGAAUUCCUGGUGUAGCGGUGAAAUGCGUAGAUAUCAGGAGGAACACCUGUGGCGAAAGCGGCGCACUGGACCACAACUGACGCUGAGGCGCGAAAGCUAGGGGGAGCAAACAGG
rnacentral:rRNA from 1 species